UACGGGGGAUGCAAGCGUUAUCCGGAUUUAUUGGGUUUAAAGGGUGCGUAGGCUGUGAGGUAAGUCAGCGGUGAAAUGCCCCCGCUCAACGGGGUGAAGUGCCAUUGAUACUGCCUUGCUGGAAUGCGGAUGCCGUGGGAGGAAUGUGUGGUGUAGCGGUGAAAUGCAUAGAUAUCACACAGAACACCGAUUGCGAAGGCAUCUCACGAAUCCGCGAUUGACGCUGAUGCACGAAAGCGUGGGGAUCGAACAGG
rnacentral:rRNA from 1 species